CGGGGCGUGGCGCAGUCUGGAAGCGCACCUNNUCUGGAAGCGCACCUGAAUGGGGUUCAGGGGGUCGGAGGUUCGAAUCCUCUCGCCCCGA
rnacentral:tRNA from 1 species